UACGUAGGGUGCAAGCGUUGUCCGGAAUUAUUGGGCGUAAAGAGCUCGUAGGCGGUCUGUCGCGCGGGCUGUGAAAACCCGGAGCUCAACUCCGGGCUGCAGUCGAUACGGGCAAACUGGGAGUACUGCAGGGGAGACUGGAAUUCCUGGUGUAGCGGUGAAAUGCGCAGAUAUCAGGGAGGAACACCGGUGGCGAAAGGCGGG
rnacentral:rRNA from 1 species